GGCCUGGUGGCGCAGUGGUUUAGCGCGGCCGCAUCGUGCGCCACCACGCUCGGGAGGUUGUUGGUUCGAUCUGCACGCGUGCCG